AACGAACGCUGGCGGCAUGCCUAACACAUGCAAGUCGAACGAGACCUUCGGGUCUAGUGGCGCACGGGUGCGUAACGCGUGGUAACCUGCCCUUAGGUUCGGAAUAACUCCCCGAAAGGGGUGCUAAUACCGGAUAAUGUCUUCGGACCAAAGAUUUAUCGCCUUUGGAUGGGCCCGCGUUGGAUUAGCUAGUUGGUAGGGUAAAAGCCUACCAAGGCGACGAUCCAUAGCUGGUCUGAGAGGAUGAUCAGCCACACUGGGACUGAGACACGGCCCAGACUCCUACGGGAGGCAGCAGUGGGGAAUAUUGGACAAGGGGCGAAAGCCUGAUCCAGCAAUGCCGCGUGAGUGAUGAAGGCCUUAGGGUUGUAAAGCUCUUUUAGCCGGGAUGAUAAUGACAGUACCGGGAGAAUAAGCUCCGGCUAACUCCGUG
rnacentral:rRNA from 1 species